rnacentral:rRNA from 1 species
CUACGGGAGGCUGCAGUGGGGAAUAUUGGACAAUGGGCGAAAGCCUGAUCCAGCCAUGCCGCGUGUGUGAAGAAGGCCUUCGGGUUGUAAAGCACUUUCAGUGGGGAAGAAAGCCUUGGGGCUAAUACCCUCGAGGAAGGACAUCACCCACAGAAGAAGCACCGGCUAACUCCGUGCCAGCAGCCGCGGUAAUACGGAGGGUGCGAGCGUUAAUCGGAAUUACUGGGCGUAAAGCGCGCGUAGGCGGUCUGAUAAGCCGGUUGUGAAAGCCCCGGGCUCAACCUGGGAACGGCAUCCGGAACUGUCAGGCUAGAGUGCAGGAGAGGAAGGUAGAAUUCCCGGUGUAGCGGUGAAAUGCGUAGAGAUCGGGAGGAAUACCAGUGGCGAAGGCGGCCUUCUGGACUGACACUGACGCUGAGGUGCGAAAGCGUGGGUAGCAAACAGGAUUAGAUACCCCAGUAGUC